UACGUAGGAUGCAAGCGUUUUCCGGAUUUAUUGGGUUUAAAGGGUGCGUAGGCGGCCUAUUAAGUUAGUGGUGAAAACGUUCGGCUUAACCGGAUACCCGCCAUUGAUACUGAUAGACUUGAGUGCGACAGAGGGUGUGGGAAUGUGUGGUGUAGCGGUGAAAUGCUUAGAUAUCACGCAGAACACCAAUUGCGAAGGCAGAUGCCUAUGUCGUAACUGACGCUGAGGCACGAAAGCGUGGGGAGCAAACAUG
rnacentral:rRNA from 1 species